GUAGGUGGCAAGCGUUGUCCGGAAUUAUUGGGCGUAAAGCGCGCGCAGGCGGUCCUUUAAGUCUGAUGUGAAAGCCCACGGGCUCAACCGUGGAGGGUCAUUGGAAACUGGGGGACUUGAGUACAGAAGAGGAAAGCGGAAUUCCAAGUGUAGCGGUGAAAUGCGUAGAGAUUUGGAGGAACACCAGUGGCGAAGGCGGCUUUCUGGUCUGUAACUGACGCUGAGGCGCGAAAGCGUGGGGAGCAAACAGGAUUAGAUACCCUGGUAGUCCACGCCGUAAACUAUGAGUGCUAAGUGUUAGGGGGUUUCCGCCCCUUAGUGCUGCAGCUAACGCAUUAAGCACUCCGCCUGGGGAGUACGGCCGCAAAGGCUGA
rnacentral:rRNA from 1 species